CUUGGCUCUUUUGAGACCCUAACGGACGACGUCAGCGGCUUUUCGUCGCUUCUCUCCUUGGAGACGUCGUUUAGGCAUCCCCUUGUCGAACCACUCGAACAAUUGGGUGUUUUUUUGGCGAUGUCGUCUAUGAUUCGUUGUUGGCGUAGUGGUGACCGGUCCGGUGUCAGCCUUCUCCUGGACUUGUGUGUUGGCGCUGUCGGUGUGUGGGUGAUGGUAUUUUUCCCUUUUUUUCUUGGUUACGAUCUACCAAGGUUUUAA
rnacentral:lncRNA from 1 species